AGACACAAAUACUCUUCUAGAAAUGAAAUCAGGUCUGAAUAAGAGCUUUGAAUCCAGUGUCAGGAAACAUUACCAAAUUCAGGUUCCUCUUCAU